CUAUAGUCACCUGAACAACUACAGCUUAAUGAGGUUGUUCAGGUGAGAUCUAUAGCUCCCUGCCGCCUUCCUCAUGUAAACUCUAUAUUUUCUGAGAAAAUACGGUGUUUACAUUGAAAGCUAAGAACACCUCCAGUUGCAGUCACUCAGAGUGAACCAGAGGGACUUCGGAGUUGAUGGAGGCAUAAUAUGCCUCCAUCCACUCAGAUCUUAUGUCAGCAGAGCACAGGGCAGCACUGUGCACAGCAUCCUGUGAUUCAGUAUAUCCUCCCUCUGCAUGCAGACACAGAACUUUCCUCAUAGAGAUUAAUUGAUUCAAUGGAGUCCUCUGUGAAGCACAUAGCCUUUCACAAGGCAAAUCGAGUUAGGUUGUUGAUAAACUCCUCCCCAUUGCCUUUCAGAGCAAUCCCUCGUCCCCCCAAUCUGUUUCUGUUAGAUCCUCAGGGAUUGACUGAGGGCGGUGUGUCCAGCAGAAGGAAGGGCUAACUUGUUAAAAGCCCUGUGAAUAGAGAUGUCGCGAACCGUC